AACACCCACAAACAACGUCACGACGCAACGUGGUUAAACAGUACGUUUAUUAAAGUAACUGGGUGAACGACAUCGGAGCGGACUGCAAAUCGCAACGCUACUUUCUCGAGUGCAGAUACUCUUCGAGACGGCUAAACAACGUGUCCAACUCGCUGAGACCUUUCCGCGUGCCGUUAUCCGAUUUCCUUUCCGCCUCCUGAGACAGCCGACUAAUCACGGACUUAUCUCCGCAACCUAACAGAGGCUGGGAGCCCGACAAAAGUAAAACAGCGUGCUAUGAACACGUUGUUACCUCUGCGCGGACAGCGCCGCCACAGAGACACUUACGCAUUGCCGCAUGUCUUUGUAGAUGGAUUCUAGCGUCGAGCGCAUACUAUGCAAUUCCGUCUUAAGUCCAGGAUAGACGUGGUCGCCUGCGGGGAACACGAUCUCCAGAUACCGCCUCAACAACCAGUCCAUGACGCUGCAUCCCCAACAGCCUUUGACCACCGUACCGUCGAGCCACACGGAGUAAUCGUCCUCACGUUGCUACAAGAGGAAAACUACGUCACCCGACACGCGGAAAAGAAAGACCGUCGCAAUAAACCGUACCUACGUGACCUACCAACGUAGGUUUUACUCGAUGAAAGGUGACGCGGAGAUCUUGCAAUCUGGUCGCGUAAUCCUCCGGACGACACUGCGGCUUUGUAUUCUUUAUCGUCGUCGUCGUCGCCGCCGGCUUCGCCUCCUCGGAAGCGCCUAGAAAAAAGACGAUCAGGACCAGAGAGGAAGAGACUAUCACCGACAGCAUCGCCGCAGCAUGCCGCCCCAAUCCGCCGCCCAACUGCGCGUCCCAGAUACCACUCGUAGACUGUCAGCCUCGCGAGGAGACACCGCGGACCGGGGAAACGGAUAAGUUUACGAACAGAAAUCUCAAGAGAAAGACGCUGACCCGGCAAGUACCGUCACGGAGACACGGUGGUUUUUAUUGAAUUUCCAGUGUAUCGAGCCACCGUGAUGCAGGUACGGUGGUUUUAUGUGAAGUGCCGCUAUCUAUAGGCGAUGUGUUCCCUGACGGUGUGUGUUUUUUGGGGAUAGACAACGUGGUUCUUGUACGUGGUUUUUACCCUGCUCAAUAAAGUCACGUUUUCCUUACACGGUGUUGUGUC
rnacentral:sRNA from 1 species